rnacentral:rRNA from 1 species
AGUGAACGCUGGCGGUAGGCCUAACACAUGCAAGUCGAACGGCAGCACAGUAAGAGCUUGCUCUUACGGGUGGCGAGUGGCGGACGGGUGAGGAAUACAUCGGAAUCUACUUUUUCGUGGAGGAUAACGUAGGGAAACUUACGCUAAUACCGCAUACGACCUACGGGUGAAAGCAGGGGAUCUUCGGACCUUGCGCGAUUGAAUGAGCCGAUGUCGGAUUAGCUAGUUGGCGGGGUAAAGGCCCACCAAGGCGACGAUCCGUAGCUGGUCUGAGAGGAUGAUCAGCCACACUGGAACUGAGACACGGUCCAGACUCCCACGGGAGGCAGCAGUGGGGAAUAUUGGACAAUGGGCGCAAGCCUGAUCCAGCCAUACCGCGUGGGUGAAGAAGGCCUUCGGGUUGUAAAGCCCUUUUGUUGGGAAAGAAAAGCAGCAGGUUAAUACCCCGCUGUUCUGACGGUACCCAAAGAAUAAGCACCGGCUAACUUCGUG